rnacentral:rRNA from 1 species
GCGUAGAUAUAUGGAGGAACACCAGCCGCGACGGUGGCUCUCUGGUCCGUAACUGACGCUGAGGCUCGAAAGCGUGGGGAGCAAACAGGCUUAGAUACCAUGGUAGUCCACGCCGUAAACGAUGAGUGCUAAGUGUUGGAGGGUUUCCGCCCUUCAGUGCUGCAGCUAACGCAUUAAGCACUCCGCCUGGGGAGUACGACCGCAAGGUUGAAACUCAAAGGAAUUGACGGGGGCCCGCACAAGCGGUGGAGCAUGUGGUUUAAUUCGAAGCAACGCGAAGAACCUUACCAGGUCUUGACAUCCUUUGACCACUCUAGAGAUAGAGCUUCCCCUUCGGGGGCAAAGUGACAGGUGGUGCAUGGUUGUCGUCAGCUCGUGUCGUGAGAUGUUGGGUUAAGUCCCGCAACGAGCGCAACCCUUAUUGUUAGUUGCCAUCAUUCAGUUGGGCACUCUAGCAAGACUGCCGGUGACAAACCGGAGGAAGGUGGGGAUGACGUCAAAUCAUCAUGCCCCUUAUGACCUGGGCUACACACGUGCUACAAUGGGAAGUACAACGAGUUGCGAAGUCGCGAGGCUAAGCUAAUCUCUUAAAGCUUCUCUCAGUUCGGAUUGCAGGCUGCAACUCGCCUGCAUGAAGCCGGAAUCGCUAGUAAUCGCGGAUCAGCACGCCGCGGUGAAUACGUUCCCGGGCCUUGUACACACCGCCCGUCACACCACGAGAGUUUGUAACACCCGAAGUCGGUGAGGUAACCUUUUUGGAGCCAGCCGCCGUAA